rnacentral:rRNA from 1 species
GAUGAACGCUGGCGGCGUGCCUAAUACAUGCAAGUAGAACGCUGAAGGAGGAGCUUGCUCUUCUGGAUGAGUUGCGAACGGGUGAGUAACGCGUAGGUAACCUGCCUGGUAGCGGGGGAUAACUAUUGGAAACGAUAGCUAAUACCGCAUGACAACAGUUAUUGCAUGAUAACUGUUUAAAAGGUGCAACUGCUCCACUACCAGAUGGACCUGCGUUGUAUUAGCUAGUUGGUGUGGGAACGGCUCACCAAGGCGAGGAUACAUAGCCGACCUGUGAGGGUGAGCGGCCACACUGGGACGGAGACACGGCCCAGACGCCUAGGGGAGGGAGCAGUAGGGAAUCUGCGGCAAUGGACGGAAAUCUGACCGAGAAACGCCGCGUGAGGGAAGAAGGUUGCCGGAUCGGGAAGCUCGGUUGUAGGAGAAGAACGAGUGUGAGCGUGGAAAGUUCACACUGUGACGGUAUUUGGCCAGAAAGGGACGGCUAUCUACGUG